CACCCCCCCCCCCCGAUUGAUUGGUAAACCUCUCGGGUCUCAUCUUAGGUUUGAUCUUUUCACUCUCACCCAUCUGUUAUUUCAUUUUAAUUUGUUGAUUUUUUGCUGGUUGCUGAUUUUUUAAUGUGAUGAUACGAAUAUCUAUAUAUUUGUUAAGGUUUCAAAAUUGCUAAAAGCCCUAACAAUCGAAGGGAGAAAUUAGAUAGAGAGCUUGUUGUUGAUUUAAUUUAUUUUAUUUUAUCGAUGCUCUAUUUUCUUUCUUCUGCUUGCAUGGGCGGCUAGACUAUUUUGUUUUGGAAUUGGAUGUAUGAAUUUGUUUAUCUAUUCUUGAAUGUUUGAAUGAUAUUAUAUGAUUUAUGGAUGCAUUUUUUUCAUGUUUGAUAUUAGUUUUUAAGAAUUUUGCUGAAGAGAAAGUCAUUUGUAAAUUCAUAUUUUUCUUUUAUUUUGAAUUCUGUAUUCUGUAAUCUCAAUGGACCUUAGGCAAUGUGUGGAGUAUAUAGUUAAUUAAUUAAUUAAUAAGACAUCAUCAUUCUAGAGUGAAUGUGAAGGUUGGGAAGUUAAUAGCUUCAGAUUAUUUUUUCCUCUAAUUCAUUUAUUAAUCUAAAAUGGACAUGGAAUUCACCAAGUCGACUAGAACCAUCACAAUUCCUAAUUAUUUGUCUCCAAUCUUGUAGGAUCUUAAGCAUAGCAAGAUAAUGUACUUGGUGUGAUUUGCUUGGGACAGCUGAGCUACAGCUUCUAAAAUAAGCAUAAUCUAUAUAUCAUGCAUUUUAAUUUAGCCCUUGGCUAGCUGAAACUUACAAGAGAUGUUAUCUGCUUUUGGGAUAGUGUCUGCUUUAUCCAUAAUGGGAUUUUGCUUUUUAAUUUUUUAUGAUCUUUAGUUAUAAACAAUCAGCUAAUUUUAAAAUUUGCUGAAAAACAAAUUGUUUGUUUGUUUUUAUUUUUUAUUAGCUAUUGUGAGACUAUUGAUCAAGUUGUGCUUAUUUGUCUCCAAUCUUGUAGGAUCUUAAGCAUAGCAAGAUAAUGUACUUGGUGUGAUUUGCUUGGGACAGCUGAGCUACAGCUUCUAAAAUAAGCAUAAUCUAUAUAUCAUGCAUUUUAAUUUAGCCCUUGGCUAUCUGAAACUUACAAGAGAUGUUAUCUGCUUUUGGGAUAGUGUCUGCUUUAUCCAUAAUGGGAUUUUGCUUUUUAAUUUUUUAUGAUCUUUAGUUAUAAACAAUCAGCUAAUUUUAAAAUUUGCUGAAAAACAAAUUGUUUGUUUGUUUUUAUUUUUUAUUAGCUAUUGUGAGACUAUUGAUCAAGUUGUGCUUUUUUAUAGUCACUGUCUCAGUGUCUUAGAUAGUUGAGACUAAUCAACACAUCUUACAACCAUUUUUGCUAUAUCUUUAUGCUUAUAAUGAACUUAUCCAAUUCAGACUCUCACUGUAAGGCUUCUUAUUAAAAAGCCCUAAAUUUACAUUAUGUGUUCAUAUCUACUUAAUUAUUUAAAAUUAUAAAUCUAAUUGUGCUUCUACAUAUUGGUGAUGUGUAAAGACUGUGUUUCAGUUCCAACAAAACGGGCCUUGUUAGGAACAUAUUGCAAAGAGCUUUUAGUUCCAAAGUUUGGAAUAACCUUUUUAUUUCAUUUUAUAAGAUAGAGGUUAGCUUUAAUGUGGGCCAUACAAUGAUUGAAAUGGUAGUUUUGGUCCUUCUAUUCUGUCAUUUGGUUAAAGAGAAUGGUUUAUAAAAACCCUGAUUAUAUAUAUAUAUAUAUAUAUAUAUAUAUGUUUAUGUAGUAUAUAUAGUUUUGUUGCUUUUUGAGGACAUUCUUUAGAUCCAUUAUGCGUCUAUAUCUUUUUUAUUUUUAUCUUUUUGAUGACAUGAACAUUGUUGUUUCAAAUCGGUAAUAUCUAAAUUUACCUAUUUUGGGAAGAAACAAAAUAAGGGGCUGAAUUAUGGAUAAUUUAGUAUGCUCUGUACUCUGCCCCUUGACUUCUAUGUAUCUCACUAAUAUAGUUUUUAUUUGAUAUAAAAUGCUAGGCUCAUUCUUGUAUUGGUUCUGCUUUUUAGGGGUGGAAAGUUCAAGUGAAAGUAAAAAAUUAAGACCUAUUAUACUUGUUUCAGUUUUUGUCCUUUUGAACUUUCUAAAACUUUAUAAUACUUUUCCGAAAUCAAAAUUGGAAAUGUUGAUUUUUUUGCUCUAAUCUUCUUGUUUAUUUUUUGAGAAAACGUUCCUUUACUAAAUUGAUUUGGAUUACUCUACGUUUUUGUUUAUAUACAUAUGAACUGGAGGCCAUGUACUUUGAUGAAGGCGUGAGAGAUGCAAAACGACAAGAAUUGGAGUCGAAAAUGUUGCAGCAUUCUGAAUUUGAGACUUGUGUGAUGCAACUACUUCCCUGGAUUUUGUACCGUGGAUUUUGCAGCUACUUCCUUGGAUUUUGUACAGUGAGGUGGUUUUUUGACAAGUGCAGACUGAAACUCAAGUGUUAGAAGGUUUAUCAAUUUUUUAACAGAAGUGUUAAGAAAUUGAUGAUUUUCUUGACAAAUGGAUUUAUUUCUUAUUUUGGAACAUUGUAAUUGUUGAAUUGUUUUGGCACAUUAAUAAAUGAUGAAUUGUAAAAAUGUUUUAACUUUUUUGAUAUAUUUAAUGGAAUAUGUAUGUUUUUUUGACUUGAA